rnacentral:rRNA from 1 species
AACGAACGCUGGCGGCGCGCCUAAUACAUGCAAGUCGAGCGAGAAGGUGUAGCAAUACACUUGUAAAGCGGCGAACGGGUGAGGAAUACAUGGGUAACCUACCCUCGAGUGGGGAAUAACUAGCCGAAAGGUUAGCUAAUACCGCAUACGAUUCCAGCACUUCGGUGCUGGAAGGAAAGCACUACCGUGGGUAGUGCGCUCCUGGAUGGGCUCAUGUCCUAUCAGCUGUUGGUGAGGUAAUGGCUCACCAAGGCUUCGACGGGUAGCUGGUCUGAGAGGACGAUCAGCCACACUGGCACUGCGACACGGGCCAGACUCCUACGGGAGGCAGCAGUAAGGAAUAUUGCGCAAUGGGCGACAGCCUGACGCAGCGACGCCGCGUGGGGGAAGAAGGC